AAUCAACGCUGGCGGCGUGCCUCAGACAUGCAAGUCGAACGCGAAAGCCCCCUUCGGGGGGCAAGUAGAGUGGCGCACGGGUGAGUAACACGUAGGUAAUCUACCUUUGGAUGGGGAAUAACCACCGGAAACGGUGGCUAAUACCGCAUAAUGCAGCGGCACCUAAUGGUGACAGUUGUUAAAGCGGGGGAUCGCAAGACCUCGCGUCUGAAGAGGAGCCUGCGGCAGAUUAGCUAGUUGGUAGGGUAACGGCUUAUCAAGGCGAAGAUCUGUAGCCGGCCUGAGAGGGCGGUCGGCCACACUGACACUGACAUACGGGUCAGACUCCUGCGGGAGGCAGCAGUCGGGAAUUUUGGGCAAUGGGCGAAAGCCUGACCCAGCAACGCCGCGUGAAGGAUGAAAUCCCUCGGGAUGUAAACUUCGCAAGAACGGGAAGAAUAAGUAAGGGUUAAUAUCUCUUACGAUGACGGUACCGUUUGUAAGCUCCGGCUAACUCCGUGCCAGCAGCCGAC
rnacentral:rRNA from 1 species